GCCCCGGCAGCGGGCGGCGGGCUCCUGUGGGCGGCAGGACGGCGCGGCCCAGCCCCCCCUCACACAGCCCAUCCAGGGCAGCGGCCACCUCGGGGCUGGGUGGCCUUGCUCGAGGCCUCCCAGGAAGCGGGACAGGCCGGGCGCUUCGAGGGGCUGCUCAGCUCUCCUGCGCCCGCAGCUUCUGGGCCCCUCCUGGGACCACAGCCCUCAGGCCCUGCUUGGGGCGGGGGCGGGGCAGCCCCAGAGAGGGGAAGCCCCCCGCAGCCGCCAGCCCGGGUCAGUCAGACGCCAGUUACACUACGUGAUCCCGGGGUCCGGUCAGCACUAACGGCCUGGUUCCGGGUUCGAGUAUUUAUUGUCACAGUAUUUCCCGGGCAGUGUUGCCUUCUCCGUGUUCGCUGUGUGAGAUGGGAAGACGCGGCUCCGGCUGCCUCUGGGCAGGGGCAGCAGCAGCGUGACCCGGGCCCGCCCCGAGCAGAGAUGCCAGCUCCCGGCCGGGGCGGGAUCGGAGCUUCGUAACGGGGCUUGUUGCCGCCCGGGAGCCUGCCGCCUCGGUGCCCCUGAGGCCUGCCUGCCCGAGGCCUGCCUGGGCCUGCUGCCCUGCCCUCCCGCCCGGGUCCCGGCAGGGCUGGGGUGGGCGUGCUGUGCCUCAGGUCCCGGCUGGGGGGCCGGGGCAGGGCUCGGCCCAGACUCCUGCUCCUCCUCUUCCUGCUAACACCCCCAGUUCGCCUCCACACACAGUGCUUCUCACUCCAGCCCAGCCUUCCGGAAGGUCCCAGGGUCGGUGGGCCCCGAGGGAAAAGCGCCGAGGAGGGGUCCGUGCUCCUCCCGCCUUGAGCCACCACCUGAGCUCCACCUCCCACCAGGACUCGCUCCUCCGUCCAUCCCCAUGGGCCCGCCUCCGGCCACGCCGGUCCCCUUAGCGCCAUGCGGCCCCGGAGCCACUGCUGCCCGCCCGGCUGUGCGAGAGAGAGGACGGCCAUGGACGCCUGCCGCUCCGGUUCCCGCGAGGCUGGGGACCGUGGGACCAGGGGAGAGGCGUGCGUGGUGUUUUGUCCAUCGUCCCAGGAGCCUGGCCCGGUCGGAGGCGGGUUCUUGCAUGUAAACUAUCCCAAUAAACAAGCAGGUGGUUCCUGUGA